UUGAGUUGGAUAUAUUGAAAUUAAAUGUCUAAAAAUUUAACUUGUGUUUUUGUGUUAAAUUAAGGUAUUUAUUUACAUUUAUUUCAGAGAAAAUUUUCAGUAUUUGGUUCGCCACAGAAUACCUUUUUUACAUGUACCGUACGUAAUGUUUUGUUUGAAACUGAAUCAAAAUAUUUGAGAAAUACGUAUACCUAUACUUAUCAGUAUCUUGGACUAAAAUCGUUAUUAUUCAAAUCAAUAUUAUUUAUCUUCAACAACAACUUAAAAGUUUAAGUAAAACGUGACAACGUACAUUAAUUGAUUAUUAAUGCGCGGGGGAAAACGCGCAGCCUCACGGGAAAUUUUCAUUUCUGCACACGACGGUUAACGGACACAAACUCACGGCGGAGCCACCCGGAAAACUUGCCGUAAUGUGUAUUUUGGAGCAUGUCUCUGAGGAGUGUAAAAAGAAAAACAGCACAACCAUUAAGGAUUUAAUGUGCAGAACCUUUCCACAUACUGUAGAAGACAUGAUGUCAUCAGCCAACAGCUUAGCAUCAGAGACAUCAAGGACAGAUGGCCUGCUUUGUUUGAUGUCUCCCAAAUCAGUGCAGAGUUUCAUAGAAUCAACACUGAACCUUGAGCCAAAAUUCAUGUCAAUGUUGGACUUCUACUCCCCUAAGCUGCUAUCCCUGUUACAAGCCCUCCAAUCUUCUUGCAAGAACUUUACUUAGUAUUUUUGUAUCUGAAUUUAAAAGGCUGAUUGGGCGCAUAUUUUCACAUUUUAUAUUUGAUUUUCCCGGUUUAGGAAGUAAAGUUAUUAGGGCACUCCUCAUGGAUGUCGGAAGGAGACCAUUCCCAAAGGACUCCUGAAACAUCUCCAGAAGAGGUGAAAUUAAUUUAGACUGAAAAUUUUUAUACAAAUCUAUAGGUAUGCCGUCUGGACCUGCCGUUUUCCCCGCCUGCAUACAGUUAAUAGCUUCUGCAAUUUCUAUUUUUGUGAGUUCUCCAUCUAAUGCCUUACUUUCAUUUUCCGAAAUUAUAGGAAUAUUAAGGUUAUUUAGAAAUUGUGUCUGCUUAUCAAGUCUGGGAGUACCCUCAGAACUAUACAAUUUUUCAUAGAAUACUUUGAAGGCCUCAUUAAUUUCUAUAGGAUCUACUAUGGUUCUUCGCUUGAAUCUUCAAUGUAAUUAAUAGACCUUUCUGUUUGUUGCUGUUUAAUGUGCCAUGCUAAAAGUUUCCCAGGUUUUUCCCCCUGGUCGUAAUAGGAUUGUUUAAGUUUCAUUAGAUGAAUUGCUGCUUUAUUAGCCGACAGUUCAUUGUACCGUGACCUAAGAAGGAGUAAUUGUACAUUUGCUUCUGUAGAGUUAGGUUUGUUAUUGUAGAGAUCUGUUUUAAGUUUUUUAAUUUUUUUCAUCCAAUGUUUUCAUUUCCAAUUGUGUACUCCUUUUUUUUGUACUGGAAAAACUGAUUAUUUGACCCCUAAUAAAAACCUUGAAUGCC